AGAAAGAGUUGAAUAUGAGACAGAGGAGAUGGUUGGAGCUGAUGAAAGAUUAUGAUUGCACCAUCCAUUACCAUCCUGGAAAGGCCAAUGUUGUGUCUGAUGCAUUGAGCAGGAAGUCUCAGACUCUGUCCCUAGCAACCUUGACUGUGAAUGAACAGCUGAGUGAAGAAGCUAGAAGAAUGGACUCGGAACUAUUAAUGAAUGAGGAGAUAGUGACCUUGGCUGCACUUAUGAUGCAACCAUCAUUCGUGGAGAAAAUCCAAGCCGCCCAAGUAUUAGAUGAGAAUCUUCAGAAGAUAGUAAACGAUAUCAAAGAAGGAAGACAGAAGGAUUUGAACUUCAGGUUGAUUGAAAAUGGAGUUCUCAAGUUCAAGGAUAGGCUUUGUGUACCAAAGGAUAAAGAAAUGAGAGAACUGAUAUUGAGAGAAGCUCACAAUUCACCCUACUCAAUCCAUCCAGGUAGUGCAAAAAUGUACAAGGACUUAAAGAAGUUCUAUUGGUGGAAUGGCAUGAAAGCCGAUGUAGCCUUUCACGUAGCCAAGUGCUUGAAUUGCCAACAAAUCAAAGCUGAAAGACAAAGGCCACAUGGAUUGCUACAACCCCUACCCGUACCAGAAUGGAAAUGGGUAAACAUCACCAUGGACUUUGUUACAGGGCUGCCACGUACUCAGAAGGGAAAUGACACAAUCUGGGUAAUUGUAGACCGACUGACCAAAGUAGCCCACUUCAUUCCUAUGAAGAUUACCUAUCCCAUGGAGAAGUUGGCCCAACUAUAUGUUGAUAAUUUUGUUCGGAUGCACGGGGUACUAGUUAGUAUUGUCUCUGACCGUGACUCUAGAUUCACCUCUAAGUUCUGGAAGUGUUUACAGAAGGCAAUAGGGACAUAGCUGAACUUCAGCACAACAUUCCAUCCAUAGACAGAUGGGCAGUCAGAGAGGACUAUAUAGACCCUAGAGGAUAUGUUGCGGGCUUGUGUAUUGGAUAUGAGCUAUAGUUGGGAUGAGCACUUGUCACUCAUAGAGUUCGCCUACAACAAUAGCUACCAGGCUACCAUAGGCAUGGCACCCUAUGAAGCCCAGUAUGGUAAGAAAUGCAGAACACCUUUAUAUUGGGAUGAAGUUGUGGAAAGAAGAAUCCUAGGUCCGGAACUAAUCCAGGCCACUUGUGAGAAAGUGGAUGUAAUCAUAGAGAGGAUCAAGGCAGCUCAAUCAAGACAGAAGAGCUAUGCUGAUGUCAGACGGAUGCACCUAGAGUUUGAGGUGGGUGAUAAGAUUUUUUUUUAAAGUCUCGCUAAUGAGAGGAGUGAAGAGGUUUGGCAAGAAGGGAAAGCUAAGUCCUUGAUACAUGGGACCUUAUAAGAUAUUGGGUCGAGUCGGAACAAUAGCUUACCGAGUCAUUAUGCCACCCGAAUUAAAAGGAGCUCAUAAUGUAUUUCAUGUUUCCAUGCUCAAGAAGUACGUUCCCGAUCCAGCUCAUAUUUUGACACAUGGUACCCUUAGAGCUUGACACUAAUUGGAAGUAUGUAAAGCAGCUAAAAGAAAUCAUUAAUAGGAGAGACCACAUUCUCCACAAUCAGAUUGUUUCUUAUGUACUAGUUAAGUGGAGGAAUCAUUCUAAACAAGAAGCAUCUUGGGAACGCAAAGAUGAGAUAAAGGAGAGAUAUCCUCAAAUGUUCGGAUUACCAGGUACAUUAAAUUUCAGGGACAAAAUUUCUUGUAAGGUGGGGGAUGUUAUACCCAUGCCCUAAAUUUCCCAUUUUUAAUUACCAAAUGAGGCACCGGAGGAUAUUCGUACCGAGGAAUACUGGGUAGCAGCCGUGUUUUGCCGGGAAGGGAAGGAUGACCCCACUUACACUUGCUACUCAUGCCUUAAAAAUUGGAAGGGGUUUCGGACGCAGAAGGAAAGGUUAGUUAAGCCCUCACACUUCACGGGAAGAUCCCUAAACCUUAAAAGUGAAAAUACAGGCCAAAACCGGGUUAUUUGGCCGUGGGAAUCAGACCAUCGCACCGUGCACCUCAAACUACCUUCAUUGGUUGGUACCACUUAUUAGGUAAUGGAUUAAUGUAUUGGGUCAUCCCAAGGUGGGCCCGUUAGUGCCAAAUAAUAAGUUAACCCAGUAAUGGGUGAAAACUCAUUUUUCUCCCAAACAAGCCUUAGUAAUUAAGUGACUAUAAAUAGACUAUUACCAUUCAUUCUCCACCUACCAAAGUAAAAACAAAGAGAAGGAGAAAGAGAAAGAAGAAGAAGGAGAAGGAGAGAAAGGAAGGAAGAGGAAGGGAGGAGCAAGGGUUUCUAUCAACUAAGGUAAACUCCAUUCACUCUAAGUCUUUAACUCCAUGUGCUAGGCUCUCUCUCUCUCUCCCAUUUCCUCUCUUUUGAGCUAAGAGAGAUCACCCCAACUGAAUCGCACCUUUCCACUGUCUAAACUUACAAAUAGGAAAGGGGAUUUGGUAUGGGAAACUUACCUUAGCAAAAUCAUGGUUCAUUUCCAGUUUAUAAACCCUCCUUUAGGAAACCUCCAUCCAAAGAACAAUUUGGGUAACACAAAACCUAGAAAUGGGGAAAAUUACUAAAACACACUUUCCCACUUAUUAAAACUACAAAUUGGGAGAGGGGUUUAGUAUAAGAGACUUAUCCUAGCAAGAUUAAUGGAUCAAUUUGAGUCCAUGAACCCUCCCUAGUGAAAUCCCCAAUUUGGGUAACAAAAACCCUAGAGAAGGUGGGUUUUACCCCAAACACUCUAUACCUCACCAUUGAAACCCAAAAUUGGGUUGGGGAAAAUGAAAUUAAAUAUAUGUAUAGUGGUUUAGGGUGACCACAUAAGCCAUUAAUGGUCACCACCAACACCCUCAACCGAAAUUCCUUAAUUUAGCUUAGUCGCGACUAGAACUUUGGGAAUUGGGAUGCAUUGUGUAAACCUAUCUUAAUUAAACCAUUAAUUACACCUAAUCUAAGGUAAUUAAGAUGGGUGAACAUACCCCACAUAUGAAUUAGCCCUAUAGUCAUAAAACCCUUAAUUUGAGAACGAUUUCAAAGAAAAGAAAAAAUAGGAAAUGAAGCUAGAACAUAUGCCUAAGGACUUAUUCCUCUAUGAGUGGUUUAUUUCUUAAAAUUCUAAUGUAUCCUAGGAGUAGAACCAAGAGGUGACGAGGCACGGCGCGAGGCCAUCGAUUGUCCAUCAUCACCUAGGACUCAAGGUCGGCAAUCCUGCUUGAUGUGAUUGCAGUCAGUGCACUUAUAAUAUAUAUAACCCGUGUGGCACUGGGUUACAAACAGACAUGGGAUCGAUAUCAACUUCUGGUCAACAGAACACUCUAUGAGAAAACUUUAGCUAGUGGCUUUGGUUCAGUUCAUUUCCUUUUGGAUGCUUCUGAACAGCAGCAAUACAAGGAAGCCAUUUUAGCAUAUGCACUCCUGCUCCGAUCUGAAAGUGAUAAGGUAAAUUGUCGUAUGACUGUUGGGGAUACAUGUGAGAGAUUCAUAUAUGAAAAGUUCAAGGAAAAGAUUGAAAUGCCAGUUGACAACGCCAUGGAUACACUUCUGAGGUUGGGUCUUGUAACAGAGGAACCUUUUGAUGGCUACUUAAAGCUGCAGGCUGUUCCAUGUGCCAAGGCAUGUAGGGCCCUUGCUCAACGUUGGAACAGCUUGAUUGGACUAGGAUAAGUACGGUUUGCUAGCUUAUACAGCGUACAAGCAACGAUGUUUCUGAACCUACAAGAUCGACAGUGAUGGUCAUCGCGAAAUCUCUUGCAUCCUUUGGAAAUUGGAAGUAGGGAAAACUCAAAAGUAGUGUCAGGAGUCAGGACCUCAAUAUGGGUAUCGAUUGGCCUGGGGUCCAUCGUGGAGGAUUUUCAAGGCAAUUAUGUCGUGUUGUGAGUCAGGUCUUUGCUUUGGCUGUCUGGGAAAUGGGAUGAAGAAUGGGCCAAGAUUAGCGUGUAACAUGGGCUUUUGUUCGAUAUUUGUGAAUCUGAUUCACUGCUUCUAAUCUUUUUUUUUUUUCUUUUUUCAUUUUUCUUUUGGUAGCACAAUGCUUCUAAUCCGAUCUUUAUAUGUUGCAAUACAAGUGGCUGAAAGAAAUUUAAUUUGUGCUUGAGGAUAUCUGGUACUUGGACAUUGCCUCGAAUCCCUCUAUUGUUGUUUCAAACAUAUCCAAGGAACAUCAUAAGCUGGCCUGGGAGCUGCUGCGUUUUACAUUUCUUCUGUUUGGAUUU